rnacentral:lncRNA from 1 species
CCAACCUUAAUCAUCCAUCCACAUGCACAAAUCUCAAAAGGCUCAACUUUUUAUCGUUCAUUUACUUGCAUGUAUCUCAAAGUGCUUCAUCUGUGAUACAUUCAUUUUUAUAGAUCUCAAAGUACUUCAUCCUCUAUUAUCUAUUCACCUAUGAAAAUCUCAAAGCACUCCAUAAGAUAUUAUCCAUGCACUCACAUAGAUCUUAAAGCAGUUUUCCAUUGUGCCUUUUCCGUUGGUGCCUUAAGAUUUAUGCUUCAUGGCUUCUUCGAGUGAUCGCCA